UGCUCGUGAUGAUCAUUCUAAGGCUCCGUUCUCAAAACAUUCGCAGUGGCCGCCCGAGAGUUCUCGCCUUGCCGGGCUUGAGGAUUGAUGCGGCUCAACCUUCCUUGGAUGGCUGAAGCA
rfam:Selaginella moellendorffii unplaced genomic scaffold SELMOscaffold_32, whole genome shotgun sequence.